CAGAGCCUGACCAUGCUUCCCACUGAGUGGAGGCUGGUGGAAGUAGACCUGGUGGGGUUUCUAGAAGACUGCCAUCCACCUCCUUUGAUAAAAAAGAAGCAGGUACUUAAGCAGUACAAUAGUAAAAAUACUAAAGUCGAUGCAGACCUAAAUGACCAAGCUAGAAUAGAGGCUGAAUCCCCCACAUUGUGGGAGGUUUUAUACAACCAAUGUUUUUUGUUGCAACAACUAGAGGGAAUUUUCUGAAGAAUGGACCUGCUGCGGAAGGAGGUUUCUGGUUUAAAGGCCGUAAUUGGUUGGGUUGGUCGAGUCUGGGAUAUUGACUGCAGCUCCACCAACCAGCCCCUGCAGUAUGGACCAAAAGGAUUCUGAUGGUUUGGAGGAACAAGCAUGAUGAGAUGUGGCGCGAG